GAUGAAGAACGUAGUGAAAUGCGAUAAGUAAUGUGAAUUGCAGAAUUCAGUGAAUCAUCGAAUCUUUGAACGCACCUUGCGCCCUUUGGCCAUUCCGAAGGGCAUGCCUGUUUGAGUAUCAUGAACACCUCAACUCUCAUGGCUCGCCAUGAUGAGCUUGGAUUUGGGGGUCUUGCUGGCCUGUGGUCGGCUCCUCUCAAAUGGAUCAGCUUGCCAGUGUUUGGUGGCAUCACAGGUGUGAUAACUAUCUGCGCUUGUGGUUUUCUGCCAGAUAACCUUCAGUGAUGGAGGUUCGCUGGAGCUUAUAAAUGUCUCUCCCCAGUGAGGACAGCUUUUUGAACGUUUGAUCUCAAAUCAGGUAGGACUACCCGCUGAACUUAAGCAUAUCAAUAAGCGGAGGA
rnacentral:misc_RNA from 1 species